rnacentral:lncRNA from 1 species
AGCAGACCUUGAACAGAGACUCACCAGACUGACAGACUUAUCUUUCUCUAACUUCACAGUUCAGCCAGAAAUACAAUAUACAAAGAACAGAGAACAUACUCCAAAAAUGGAACGAGAGCCACUGAAAGACAUCACCAACGUGCAGACGGAAAAGAAAAGGACCCAACAGAACACCCAAAAUGGGCAACCAGCCCGCAAACGCUUCGAGAUCUUUAGAGGAUCUAACUGAGGUGCGGACCAGAGAGUGAGUUCCAAACAGAAAGUGGCUUCACUAUGAUGACUCAAACUUCCCAAAUUUCUUCAACAGUUUGGCCUAUGCGAUAGCGGAGGCGGGUGGAUAGCGAAGGGUAACUUGGAGUCCUCGGUCAACUCCUGUGACCCGCUUUGUUAUUUGUUGAGACCAUGGCUCGUUCUAUUAAUAACUUAAAAUGUUUAUAAAUAUUUUGGAAAUCUACAGACCUCCCACACAACAAAGAAACACAAAAGACACUACCGUAAAACAGGAAGAAAAGACUUGGUUUGCGAUUCUCAAAUUUUGUUGAACCUUCGGCAAGUUUAAGGCUCUGUUGCGCCAAUAAGAGACGUUGGACUUAUAAAAGAAAAGGACAAAACUGAUAAGAAAAUCUACUUAUUUGGGGUCGCUUCAUACCGAAUGCUGGGGGUAGAUGGGUAACGUCUAUCUAAGUCGUCCUUCAGCCCCCUCCUGUAGCUCUAAUUUGGCGAUCGGCAUGCAGCCAGUCACUUGUUUUGGUGCUUUUUAUGCACAGAAAUGACCAGAGACACGAAGUCAAAAACGUUUCUUGAUUCUCUGCCGCUGCGGCAGCCGAGCAAUUGUGCAUGGGCCAUAUACGAAUCUGUUUCUCUGUCGCUGCGGCGGGUCUCCGUGCUUGGGCAGAAGUCACACGAAGGUUUUACAGAGAUCGCUGCCAGCCUCUUCUCUGAGUUCGUGUUUUUCAGGUGGUCAAACGAAGGAAACAUCAAUGUCCUGCGAAAACAUCAAAGCCAUGACUUAUCACUCAACAUACGAAUAUUUAAAGUACACGGAACUUGUAAUAUACAACAAAACGAGAAAGGACGUGUGAGACGCUUCUUACACGACACAACUUUUAUACCCGGUACUCAGAAGAACACCUGUACCUUAACGGUUUUUUUUUCUUAUUUUAAAUUUUACAUUUUUUCUUUAUCUUUCAUCAACAUCUACAUCUACAUCACUUCUCACGCCAACACGCUCCUUUAGCUCGCCCCCUCCUCAAGAUCCACACACUGCAGAGGUAGGCAUGGGGCAUGGGGUGUACCACAAGCAAGGUAAAGAUGAAUUUUUACUCUCCUGGAAAGGCUCGAGGCUCAAGGGGAGCGCUUGCCGUUGUUGGUGCUGUCGUUGUUUGUUCUUCUUCUGCUGUUGGCAACAAUACCAGUGUCCACAUACGAACAUACAUAUAUUUAUUAUUUAUUUCACUGACCUAGUUUCCGUCUGGUCCAUGCCUCCCUGACCCGAAUCAGGGGUCGGUCCAGUCAGGGUUUGAGACCCCUCAUAGCAGACCUUGAACAGAGACUCACCAGACUGACUGACUUAUCUUUCUCUAACUUCACAGUUCAGCCAGAAAUACAAUAUACAAAGAACAGAGAACAUACUCCAAAAAUGGAACGAGAGCCACUGAAGGACAUAACCAACGUGCAGACAGAAAAGAAAAGGACCCAACAGAACACCCAAAAUGGGCAACCAGCCCGCAAACGCUUCGAGAUCUUUAGAGGAUCUAACUGAGGUGCGGACCAGAGAGUGAGUUCCAAACAGAAAGUGGCCUCACUAUAACGACUCAAACUUCCCCAAUUUCUUCAACAGUUUGGCCUAUGCGAUAGCGGAGGCGGAUGGAUAGCGGAGGGUAACUUGGAGUCCUCGGUCAACUCCUGUGACCUGCUUUGUUAUUUGAUGAGACCAUGGCUCGUUGUAUUAAUAACUUAAGACGUUUAUAAAUAUUUUGGAAAUCUACAGACCUCCCACACAACAAAGAAACACAAAAGCCACUACCGUAAAACAGGAAGAAAAGGAUUGAAAGCAGUCGAUCCGAUUUGCAGACUUGGUUUGCGAUUCUCAAAUUUUUUUGAACCUUCGGCACGUUUAAGGCUCUGUUGAGCCGAUAAGAGACGAUGGACUUAUAAAAGAAAAAG